AAUAUUAGAGAAAUCAAAAUAGAAGUAGAGAGUGAGAAAAGAAAUGAGAGAAAAUAGAGAAAAUUCUAAAAGUUUGGUUUAGGACAAGUUUGGUUGUCCGAAAGUGACUGAAAUGAAAAAAGUCAUUUUUGCAAAAAUAGCUUUUCAGUUCAAUUAUUUGGUUGACUAUAAAACGAAACAUGAAAACUAUAAUUUUGUAAUUUUGAUUCUUUAAUUAUAUUUAAAGUGUGGGGACUGAGAAUUUUGCUGUAUAUCUAAACUCUCUGUUGACGAUAUUUUUGUGUGUAUUUCAAUUACAUAAUCACUCAUCAAGUUUCGGGAGAAAACGAGUUAAGAUGGAGAAGUUACAGAUCUUUACCAUUCACUUAAAGUGAAUAGUAACUCAAAUUUUUCGGAGAGGCCAAUGAGUAGAGAUGGCUUUUGGCAUGUAUCGGACUUCGUUCAUAGUGAUACAAUAGCUCAUUUUCAACGGUACGACUAUCCGGACCCAAUGGCGCAGAUGGAUUUGGGUUUGACACACGAUUUUCA
rnacentral:lncRNA from 1 species